rnacentral:rRNA from 1 species
GACGUAGGUGGCAAGCGUUGUCCGGAUUUAUUGGGCGUAAAGCGAACGCAGGCGGGAGAAUAAGUCAGCUGUGAAAGCCCCCAGCUUAACUGGGGAACUGCAACUGAAACUAUUUUUCUUGAGUGCAGAAGAGGAGAGUGGAACUCCAUGUGUAGCGGUGGAAUGCGUAGAUAUAUGGAAGAACACCAGUGGCGAAGGCGGCUCUCUGGUCUGUAACUGACGCUGAGGUUCGAAAGCAUGGGUAGCGAACAGG